rnacentral:piRNA from 1 species
UGGUCACAUGUCAAUACAAGUUGGAUGGGUGU